rnacentral:tRNA from 1 species
GUGAGCGUGGCUGAAUGGUCAGGCAGCGGAUUGCAAAUCCGUUUUAUGCAGGUUCAAAUCCUGUCACUCACU